GGGUUUGAGGUCUAUAUGGGAUCCUGGGGUCUAUGGGGUGGGAUUUGAGGUCUAUAUGGGGUCUAUGGGGUCGGAUUUGGGGUCUAUACGGGAUCUAUACGGGAUUUGGGGUCUAUGGGUUUGGAUUUGGGGUCUAUAUGGGGUCUACAGAGUGGGAUUUGAGGUCUAUAUGGGAUCCUGGGGUCUAUGGGGUGGGAUUUGGGGUCUAUAUGGGAUCCUGGAGUCUAUGGGGUGGGCUUUAGGGUCUAUAUGGGGUCUAUGGGGUGGGAUUUGAGGUCUAUAUGGGAUCCUGGGGUCUAUGGGGUGGGAUUUGAGCUCUAUAUGGGGUCUAUGGGGUCGGAUUUGGGGUCUAUACGGGAUCUAUACAGGAUUUAGGGUCUAUGGGGAGGGCUUUGGGGUCUAUAUGGGGUGUAUGGGGUGGGAUUUGAGGUCUAUAUGGGGUCUAUGGGGUGGGAUUUGAGGUCUAUAUGGGGUCUAUGGGGUGGGAUUUGAGGUCUAUAUGGGAUCCUGGGAUCUAUGGGGUGGGAUUCGGGGUCCAUAUGGGGAACUAUGGGAGUCUAUGGGGUGGGAUUUGAGGUCUAUAUGGGGUUUAUGGGGUGGGAUUUAGGGUCUAUAUGGGGUCUAUGGGGUGGGAUUUGAGGUCUAUAUAGGAUCCUGGGGUCUAUGGGGUGGGAUUUGAGGUCUAUACGGGGUCUAUGGGGUCGGAUUUGGGGUCUAUAUGGGAUCUAUACGGGAUUUGGGGUCUAUGGGGAGGGCUUUGGGGUCUAUAUGGGGUGUAUGGGGUGGGAUUUGGGGUCUAUAUGGGGUCUAUGGGGUGGGAUUUGAGGUCUAUAUGGGAUCCUGGGGUCUAUGGGGUGGGAUUUGAGGUCUAUAUGGGGUCUAUGGGGUGGGAUUUGGGGUCUAUAUGGGAUCUAUACGGGAUUUGGGGUCUAUGGGGAGGGCUUUGGGGUCUAUAUGGGGUGUAUGGGGUGGGAUUUGAGGUCUAUAUGGGGUUUAUGGGGUGGGAUUUGAGGUCUAUAUGGGAUCCUGGGGUCUAUGGGGUGGGAUUCGGGGUCUAUAUGGGAUCCUGGAGUCUAUGGGGCGGGCUUUAGGGUCUAUA
ensembl:lncRNA